rnacentral:rRNA from 1 species
GACGAACGCUGGCGGCGUGCCUAAUACAUGCAAGUUGAGCGCUGAAGGUUGGUACUUGUACCAACUGGAUGAGCAGCGAACGGGUGAGUAACGCGUGGGGAAUCUGCCUUUGAGCGGGGGACAACAUUUGGAAACGAAUGCUAAUACCGCAUAAAAACUUUAAACACAAGUUUUAAGUUUGAAAGAUGCAAUUGCAUCACUCAAAGAUGAUCCCGCGUUGUAUUAGCUAGUUGGUGAGGUAAAGGCUCACCAAGGCGAUGAUACAUAGCCUACCUGAGAGGGUGAUCGGCCACAUUGGGACUGAGACACGGCCCAAACUCCUACGGGAGGCAGCAGUAGGGAAUCUUCGGCAAUGGACGAAAGUCUGACCGAGCAACGCCGCGUGAGUGAAGAAGGUUGUCGGAUCGUAAAACUCUGUUGGUAGAGAAGAACGUUGGUGAGAGUGGAAAGCUCAUCAAGUGACGGUAACUACCCAGAAAGGGACGGCUAACUACGUG